rnacentral:tRNA from 1 species
UCCUGGCUGGCUCAGUCGGUAGAGCGUGCGACUCUUGAUCUCGGGGUUGUGAGUUUGAGCCCCACGUUGGGUG